GAUUGCUACAAAGUAUUUAUUUCGCAAUCGCCUGAUAUGUAUGUCCAUAUAAGGAACAAAAUAUAACACGUGAUCAGCGCCUGUAUGCAAAUUUUGAGCGCGUCGUUUGAAAACUCUUUUGAAUCGUAUUUCAUACUGCAGUGUUGAAGAUGUUUUCAGCGUAUUUUCUUAACUAUUUUGGUACUUCUAAAUAUGCUGAACAGCAACGGACUCACAUAAGGAAAUAUCAAGACAAUUGGCUAUGAUAUUAUCUCAGAAAUAUCUUGAGAAGCCAAAUGAAUUCUACUUUUAAUACUGCGAUGAUCUCUUUAGCAAUCUGGGUCAAAGAAAAUAUCAUUGCAAUAAUAGUUUUCACCAAGAUUGAAUGAAGGCGUCAAAUGUGGCAAAUUAAGGGGAAACUGUAAUUCUAAUGAUAUGACAAGGAAAUAUCCCUUCCUUGCUGACUCAAUUGUGGUUGUGGAACAGGUUCAUGGACCAUAACAAGGCCAUAGGUUGAAACAAUUUUAGAAGAAUAUCCUGCACUUCAGCUUAUUACAGAGAUCAGGACCCAAGGCUAAUUCGUUCAGAUGACCUUUCAGAUGUUCAAACUUUCAUGAUUGCGGUGGAGGGGCAAAUGUUAACUUAUCAAAGAACAGACUCAACUUCAUUUUAUCUACUAAACAUGGAGUACAUUGCUGGUGUGGCAAAUGUGUGUGCAUUUUUGGAAACUGCUCUCGUCGGGAAGCCUUAGGACAAAAACUUUUGAAGGACGUUAAGUACCGUAAAAAUUUUAAACAUUCUUGUAGCUACGUAGAUUUUCCAGUCAGAGCAUAUGAAGAAAUAAAUAUUUUUUAAUCGCAUUUGGUCUACUUCGUAUGAUUAUAGCUUAUGCUAUUUAGUCGCUCCAUUGCUAGCGCUAAAAGUGCAAAAACUAAUCCACACAAACUUCAGGUGUUAGAUUAACACCAAAAGUAGGCGUCAAACUAGCACCAAAGAUCGUGCUAAUUUGA